CAUUAUUGAAUUUGGAUUUCCAUAUUCUUACACCUGUGCACUUUUUGUAGGCCAUUCAUUUGGUCUAUGUCUUUUUAAUAACACAUCUUUAUAAAAUUGUGAAUGGAAAAUGGGAUAAAUAAUACAACUUUCAACAACGGAUCUCUUGGCUCUCGCAUCGAUGAAGAACGCAGCGAAAUGCGAUAAGUAAUGUGAAUUGCAGAAUUCAGUGAAUCAUCAAAUCUUUGAACGCACCUUGCGCUCCUUGGUAUUCCGAGGAGCAUGCCUGUUUGAGUGUCAUUAAAUUCUCAAAAAGUCUUUAUUCUUAAGGAUUUUUUUUGGACUUGGAGUGUUUGCUGGCUUGUCAGCUCCUCUUAAAUGCAUUAGCUUGUGCUCUGUGGAUGUAGCUUUGGUUUGAUAGUAUCUAUGCCAUCGCUUUUGAAACAAAUGAUUCAGGCUUCUAACAACCAAUCUCUUUGACAUUUUGACCUCAAAUCAGGUAGGACUACCCGCUGAACUUAA
rnacentral:rRNA from 1 species